GUCAGCAGGGAUAGUACGUCGAAUACACCAGUUCCCGAUAGAUCGCUGAAGAUAAGGAACGUUGUGCGUAGUUAGUAUCCAGAUCGGUGUCCAUCUGGGCAAUCGUGUCCUGCUGGAU
rnacentral:rRNA from 1 species